GUGGGUGUAGUUCAAUGGUAGAACACCGCUCUGUGGCAGCGGUUACGGGGGUUCGAUUCCCCUCACUCACC
rnacentral:tRNA from 1 species